rnacentral:misc_RNA from 1 species
GGUGUUAGGUUUGUAUGAGCAUGUUGGAUCCUUGCUUGCGCAUCGACAAUUUCUCAUGCAUUCCAUUUCAGUUGUUGCAUCAAGUUUUACUUGGUCGUUGUGUGUUUCCUGUGCUAAAUACCUAACAUGAAGGCAUUCCAUUUGAUGUGAAACUAUAUCCACCUUUUGAUGCCCCCAAGUUGAGUGCGUUUUGUUGGUGGACCUCAAAUCAUGCAUUUUGGUUCACAUCCUUUGCCUGCUUGUUCAUGCUUUGGUUGUUGACCCAUGAUGCUGUGUUUGAUUUCUUGGAUAUUGAAAAUUGUGAGGGAAUGGGUCUUUGGCCUUUAAUAACCCCAGAUUAUGCGUUCGACGCUAUAAGCGAACGACUGUCGUGUCUGUGUUGGACGAGUCCUUUGGACUUGGCUCAUACGGCACCCAUGUCGGUGAGGAA